GGGUGGUCUGGCUGUGACAUCUGUCAUCCCAAUGAUCACCAAGAUUCAUUUGACUGAUAUCACCUUUCAUGUUGCUCCUUGUGUGUCUCUCAAAGCUUUGCAGUAGCAUAGAAUGACCUUCCCAGAGAAAAGCAGAUUUUCUUUAGACAGGGAUGUAGGAGUAACAGCAUUCCCCUGGUAGAGCUUGGAAACAAGAAUAGAUUCCAAAUGCAGGAAGCCAGGUCUGCACAGCUGGGCAUCUUUUGCCUAUA
rnacentral:snRNA from 1 species